AGAGCAGGCCUUCACACAAUCACACCCACUGCAGCAAGUCACUGCUGAGUGGCCUUCAAAAUUCAUCACCGCCGCCGCUCGUUGUACUCCUUUUCCCAAACCGCCGCCCUCCACCUUCCCUAAUCUCUCUCCCAUGGAAAAAUCCGACGCCGAAACUCAAAACGCUAACGACGACCGCGACGAGCAAACUCCCUCCAAUGUCAACGGCACCGUAGACGACGAGCCCGAACCCGACGAAAUCGAUGACGAAAUGGACGAAGAAGAAGACGAAGACGAGGAGGAGGAGCCACCUCUGCCGCGAAAUCCCCUCUCCCAGGAGGCCCAGUUGCGUGCGGAGAAGUCCAAGCUAGAGAAAAUGGUCCGUCGGAUGUCGACCGAGCGGGUCGAUCUGAGGGUCCACGACGUUCUGAUCAAGGGAAAUACGAAGACGAAGGAGCAUUUGAUCGAGGCCGAGCUGGCGGAGAUUAAGAAGGCCGCCACCAUGCAAGAGCUGCUCGAGGCCGCCGCAAUUGCAAAUGCGAAGCUUCAGAAGCUUGAAAUAUUCGAUGCGGUUCGGAUCACGCUCGAUUCUGGCCCGCCGGAGCUGCCUGGAACUACCAAUGUUAUUGUGGAGGUCGUCGAAACUAAGAGUCCAAUUUCUGGCGAAAUCGGUGCUUACACGAAGCCAGCGGCUAGGUCAUGGACUGCUGAAGGAACGCUUAAGUUCAAAAAUCUGCUCGGAUAUGGGGAUUUAUGGGAUAGUUCUUUGGCGUAUGGGCCCAACCAAACGUCGGAGUUAAGUGCUGGCCUGUUUUUGCCCAGGUUCAAAGGGUUUGUAACUCCAGUGAUGGCACGAGCAUUCCUGCUUUCCCAAGAUUGGAUGGAGUUCUCUUCUUAUAAAGAGCGCAUGAUGGGGCUCUCUCUUGGACUGAUUUCAUCAAAACACCAUGAUUUGGCAUACAACCUGGGUUGGCGAACGCUAGCAGACCCAUCACAAUUGGCCUCGAGGUCAAUAAGAAGGCAGCUCGGCCAUGGAUUACUUUCUUCAAUCAAAUACACAUUUAAGAUUGAUAGGAGAAAUUCACCUUUGAGGCCAACUCAAGGUUACUCAUUUGUUUCUACAAGUCAUAUUGGUGGCAUUGCACCUGAUCAUCGAAGCACGAGGUUUUUGCGUCAGGAGUUUGAUAUUCGUUAUGCAGUUCCAUUAGGAUUUUAUCAUGCUGCACUUAAUUUUGGGAUCUCCGCUGGAGUUAUUUUUCCAUGGGGGUGUGGAUUCUUGAACAAGCCCUCAUCCCUUCCAGAGCGGUUCUUCCUGGGUGGUGAUUUCUCUCCAGUUUGCUCUGUGGGGGGCCCUACGACAGUGUGGGGAUUCAAGACAAGGGGACUAGGCCCCACUGAACCAAGAAGGCAUGUUGGAGAUAAUUCUAAUCAGGAGAAUUCAGAAUCCCCUGGAAGAGAUUCUAUUGGAGGAGAUCUUGCUGUUUCUGCAUUUGCAGACAUUUCAUUUGAUCUUCCACUUCGCUGGUUAAAAGAACAUGGAGUGCACGGUCAUAUUUUCGCAGGUGCGGGGAAUCUGGCAAAAUUGACGGAGAAUGAGUUCCAAAACUUUUCUGCCCCGAAGUUCCUUCAGUCAUUUCGAAGUUCUGUGGGAGCAGGGAUUGUUGUCCCUACCAAAUUCUUCCGCCUAGAGUGCAACUACUACUAUAUACUGAAGCAAUUUGAGCAUGACCGUGGGAAGACUGGCUUUCGCUUCAGCAUCUCAGCUCCGUCAUAGAAUCUGGGAAUUUGUUUUUUUCUUGUGAUAUUUGAUGUUCGGCUAAACUUGAGGGCGACAUAAAGAGAGCGUCGUUUGAGGGGAUCAAACUCAGAAAUGUUCUCGGAGCCCUUUGCAACUUUCUCUUUCACUUCAUGUCGUUUUAUGUCAUGUGGCAAUUUUGACUACACCCUUUUGGAAAUUCCUGCGUCUGGAUGAUUUUGCAGUUACAUUUUUGCCUUGUGGCGUGUUAGGGUUUUCGGGUCAUUUGGACGGAGGAAUUUUUGAAAGGGUGUAGUCGAAAUUUAGAAUUUAGAUGACAAAUUUUUUGGUUUGGGCUUUUUCUAAUGUUUUAUCCAUUGUAAUUCUCUUAUCUUAAUGGGGCUUUAGAAUUUA